rnacentral:rRNA from 1 species
UACGUAGGGUGCGAGCGUUGUCCGGAAUUAUUGGGCGUAAAGGGUGCGUAGGCGGUUUGGUAAGUCUUGUGUGAAAUCUACAGGCUCAACUUGUAGUCUGCACGAGAAACUACCGGGCUUGAGUGUGGGAGAGGUGAGUGGAAUUCCUGGUGUAGCGGUGAAAUGCGUAGAUAUCAGGAGGAACACCUGUGGCGAAAGCGGCUCACUGGACCAUAACUGACGCUGAUGCACGAAAGCUAGGGGAGCAAACAGG